ACGGGAGGCAGCAGUGGGGAAUAUUGCACGAUGGGGGAAACCCUGAUGCAGCGACGCCGCGUGAGUGAAGAAGUAUUUCGGUAUGUAAAGCUCUAUCAGCAGGAAAGAAAAUGACGGUACCUGACUAAGAGGCCCCGGCUAACUACGUGCCAGCAGCCGCGGUAAUACGUAGGGGGCAAGCGUUAUCCGGAUUUACUGGGUGUAAAGGGAGCGUAGACGGUAAGGCAAGUCUGAAGUGAAAUGCCAGGGCUCAACCCUGGAACUGCUUUGGAAACUGUCCUACUAGAGUGCAGGAGAGGUAAGUGGAAUUCCUAGUGUAGCGGUGAAAUGCGUAGAUAUUAGGAGGAACACCAGUGGCGAAGGCGGCUUACUGGACUGUAACUGACGUUGAGGCUCGAAAGCGUGGGGAGCAAACAGGAUUAGAUACCCUGGUA
rnacentral:rRNA from 1 species